GACGAACGCUGGCGGCGUGCCUAAUACAUGCAAGUCGAACGGUUUAGUUCCAAGAGGCACGACUCUUGGAACUAAGCAGUGGCGGACGGGUGAGUAACACGUAGGCAACCUACCUGUCAAACCGGGAUAACCUCGGGAAACCGAAGCUAAACCCGGAUAAGCUCCUUUUUCGCAUGAAGGGGGAGGGAAAAGGUGCGACCUGAUGACAGAUGGGCCUGCGGCGCAUUAGCUAGUAGGUAGGGUAACGGCCUACCUAGGCGAUGAUGCGUAGCCGACCUGAGAGGGCGUACGGCCACACUGGGACUGAGAUACGGCCCAGACUCCUACGGGAGGCAGCAGUAGGGAAUCUUCGGCAAUGGGCGAAAGCCUGACCGAGCAACGCCGCGUGAGUGAGGAAGGCCUUCGGGUUGUAAAACUCUGUUGUGUGGGAAGAAGGGAAAGGGUAGGACCCUUAGGUGACGGUACCAAACGAGAAAGCCCCGGCUAACUACGUG
rnacentral:rRNA from 1 species